CACAGAUGAAAAGGACUCAACUUGCCUCUGUAAAACAGCCAUGGAGGUGCAGUGAAGCGGGAUGCAGUUGCAGAAAUAAAUGAGAAUUCCAAGUGGGAAAUAGUAAAAAGAAAGGAGGAAGAUAUUAAGAAGAACCAGCCAAAGAGGGAUCGCUUCCUGGUGGUGAAUGUAAGCAGCUCUUCUGUGGCAUGGAGCAAUCACUAGGUGCAGUAACAGUACACUGCAAUGUGCAAAGAGGGAAAUGAAGACGAGCUCAUCCAAAGGAAACUACACAGGCAUUUUAGAUCAGCCCAAUGCAAUUAUCCAAGCUGGAAUCAUUCCAGGACACCAAGCCACACACUAAAGGGUACUUCAAAAUGCCAUCUUCUACCUGAAUGGAAUUGUGUUUCACAGAAACAGAAAGCCAACAGAGUGAAAAAUGGCCCAGCUCUCAAGGUUGGUAGGGAGAAAACACAGCCAGAAUACUGGAAGGAAGCAAACGUUUUAAUAAAAUUUUGGUUCAUAAAGUCUUACAGUCUCAGGAAGUACUAAUGAA
ensembl:lncRNA